rnacentral:rRNA from 1 species
CACGUAGGGCGCAAGCGUUGUCCGGAAUUAUUGGGCGUAAAGAGCUCGUAGGCGGACUGUCACGUCCGCUGUGAAAAGCUAGGGCUUAACCCUGGCCUUGCAGUGGAUACGGGCAGACUAGAGGUAGGUAGGGGAGAAUGGAAUUCCCGGUGUAGCGGUGAAAUGCGCAGAUAUCGGGAGGAACACCGGUGGCGAAGGCGGUUCUCUGGGCCUUAACUGACGCUGAGGAGCGAAAGCCAGGGGAGCGAACGGG